GUCUACGGCCAUGCUACCCUGAACAAGUCCAAUCUCGUCUUAUCUCAGAAGCUAAGCAGAGUCGGGCCUGGCCAGUACUUGAAUAGGAGACCAUUUUGG
rnacentral:rRNA from 1 species